GAUCAUGGCUCAGGAUGAACGCUAGCGGCGGGCUUAACACAUGCAAGUCGAGGGGCAGCGGGGAGUAGCAAUACUCCGCCGGCGACCGGCGCACGGGUGCGUAACGCGUAUGCAACCUACCUUUAACAGGGGCAUGACACUGAGAAAUUGGUACUAAUUCCCCAUAACAUUCGAGAAGGCAUCUUCUUGGGUUAAAAACUCCGGUGGUUAAAGAUGGGCAUGCGUUGUAUUAGCUAGUUGGUGAGGUAACGG
rnacentral:rRNA from 1 species